GUCGAGCGAACAGACGGGGAGCUUGCUUCUCUGACGUUAGCGGCGGACGGGUGAGUAACACGUGGAUAACCUACCUAUAAGACUGGGAUAACUUCGGGAAACCGGAGCUAAUACCGGAUAAUAUAUUGAACCGCAUGGUUCAAUAGUGAAAGACGGUUUCGCUGUCACUUAUAGAUGGAUCCGCGCCGCAUUAGCUAGUUGGUAAGGUAACGGCUUACCAAGGCAACGAUGCGUAGCCGACCUGAGAGGGUGAUCGGCCACACUGGAACUGAGACACGGUCCAGACUCCUACGGGAGGCAGCAGUAGGGAAUCUUCCGCAAUGGGCGAAAGCCUGACGGAGCAACGCCGCGUGAGUGAUGAAGGUCUUCGGAUCGUAAAACUCUGUUAUUAGGGAAGAACAAAUGUGUAAGUAACUAUGCACGUCUUGACGGUACCUAAUCAGAAAGCCACGGCUAACUACGUGCCAGCAGCCGCGGUAAUACGUAGGUGGCAAGCGUUAUCCGGAAUUAUUGGGCGUAAAGCGCGCGUAGGCGGUUUUUUAAGUCUGAUGUGAAAGCCCACGGCUCAACCGUGGAGGGUCAUUGGAAACUGGAAAACUUGAGUGCAGAAGAGGAAAGUGGAAUUCCAUGUGUAGCGGUGA
rnacentral:rRNA from 1 species